GACGUAGGGCGCGAGCGUUGUCCGGAUUUAUUGGGCGUAAAGAGCUCGUAGGCGGUCUGUCGCGUCGGCUGUGAAAACUCGGGGCUCAACCCCGAGCCUGCAGUCGAUACGGGCAGACUAGAGUGCUGUAGGGGGGACUGGAAUUCCUGGUGUAGCGGUGAAAUGCGCAGAUAUCAGGAGGAACACCGGUGGCGAAGGCGGGUCUCUGGGCAGUAACUGACGCUGAGGAGCGAAAGCGUGGGGAGCGAACAGG
rnacentral:rRNA from 1 species